GAUGAAGAACGCAGCGAAAUGCGAUAAGUAAUGUGAAUUGCAGAAUUCAGUGAAUCAUCGAAUCUUUGAACGCACAUUGCGCCCUCUGGUAUUCCGGGGGGCAUGCCUGUUCGAGCGUCAUUAUAACCACUCAAGCUCUCGCUUGGUAUUGGGGUUCGCGGUUCCGUGGCCCCUAAAAUCAGUGGCGGUGCCUGUCGGCUCUACGCGUAGUAAUACUCCUCGCGAUUGAGUCCGGUAGGUCUACUUGCCAGCAACCCCCAAUUUUUACAGGUUGACCUCGGAUCAGGUAGGGAUACCCGCUGAACUUAAGCAUAUCAAUAAGCGGAGGA
rnacentral:misc_RNA from 1 species